UCCACUGUGCCAACUUAUAACUAAAUCUGAGGGGGGUGCGAUGGGGAGGUUCCCUUGUAAGAUGAGACUAUUGUAUCUGCAUGAGGACAGAGUGUGGAAAACUAAUAUCAAGAGGAAAAUUGCAGAUCUGGAUAAAAGAAACGAGGCAUACAAGCUCAUUAAAUCAGUGUCAAUGUUGAGCAAUGUAAAUAUGUUUCAGUAAUAAGUGCAAAAAUCACCGCAGAAACUCAGUAUUGACCCUGACACAUCAGAAUUUUCUUCAUACUUCAAGACACACUGUGCAGGAAAUGUGGAAUGUUGGGCCAACUGUCGUAGAAUAUAUGCUGGUCUCAACACCAACAUGAAUGUGGAGAUUAUGCAUACGAUGCUAAAGAAGAUACACGGUAAUGCAAGGCAGAUAAAACGACUGGAGAAAGAUGCUGAAGAAAUCUGUGAAAUAGUAAGAUCAUGUCUGGGUGAGAGUAUGUAUCAAUUGAUAUGUCUACGCAUUGAACCUGGGAGAGUAAAAUAGCUCGACAUGAAUCAUGAUGUUCGUGUGGAGCAUAGCCAUACCAUUCCAGAUGUACAGCACAGCAAAACAGG